AAAAAAAAGAAAGAAAAAAAAGGAAAGAAACAGAAUAAAAGAAACGAAAAGCAGGGGAAGGAUAGAAAGAAAGGAGAAAGAAAAGAAAAAGGGAGAAUUAGGGUUUGAUGGUUUGGAAGUUUAAUAGCUAACAUUAUGCCGAAAAUCUAGGCUAAGCAAGAAAAAGGCAAAGUCGACGAGGGUUAGCCCGAAAAUUACGGUUAAGUUAAAGCUAGAACGUGGAAUCAGCAUCCCAGGUCGAUCCCGAAUUCAAUGAGAUAAAGCGUGUUAAUAGUUGGUAAUGACAUGUACCUAGUAUAUUUUAUGUAUGUGUAUUUUGAAUUGUCAAUGUAUUGAUGAAAUAUUUAGAAUUAGGUUUGGUAAUGGUAUAUAAUAGGAUUUGGCUUAAUUGGUAUAAAUUUGAAUUAUUUGAUAA